AGUGAACGUUGGCGGCGUGGAUUAGGCAUGCAAGUCGAGCGAGAACCGUAGCAAUACGGGGACAGCGGCGAAAGGGACAGUAAUGUGUAGGUACCUACCCCGAGGUCUGGGAUAGCUGCGGGAAACUGCAGGUAAUACCGGAUAAUGUCUUCGGACCAAAGGUGUGAUUCCACCUUGGGAGGGGCCUGCAUCCUAUUAGCUAGUUGGCGGGGUAAUGGCCCACCAAGGCAACGAUGGGUAGCGGGUGUGAGAGCACGACCCGCGUCAUUGGGACUGAGAUACUGCCCAGACACCUACGGGUGGCUGCAGUCGAGGAUCUUCGGCAAUGGGCGAAAGCCUGACCGAGCGACGCCGCGUGCGGGAUGAAGGCCUUCGGGUUGUAAACCGCUGUCGUAGAGGAGGAAAUGCAGGGGGGUUCUCCCUUCUGUUUGACCUAUUCUAGGAGGAAGGACGGGCUAAGUUCGUGCCAGCAGCCGCCGUAA
rnacentral:rRNA from 1 species